GCGAGGAAACCCGCUGAACUUAAGCAUAUCACUAAGCGGA
rnacentral:rRNA from 1 species